UUAGGAAAUUUUCACAAUGGGGGAAACCCUGAUGGAGUAACGCCGCGUGGAGGAUGACGGCCUUCGGGUUGUAAACUCCUUUUCUGUGGGAAGAGUAGAAGACGGUACCACAGGAAGAAGCCUCGGCUAACUACGUGCCAGCAGCCGCGGUAAUACGUAGGAGGCGAGCGUUGUCCGGAAUUACUGGGCGUAAAGAGCGCGUAGGCGGUUCUGUACGACAGGUGUGAAAGCCCCCGGCUCAACUGGGGAGGGUCAUCUGUAACGGCAGGAAUCGAGAGUGCAGGAGAGGGACGUGGAACUCCGGGAGUAGCGGUGAAAUGCGUAGAGACCCGGAGGAACACCAGUGGCGAAGGCGGCGUCCUGGCCUGCGACUGACGCUGAGGCGCGAAAGCUAGGGGAGCAAACGGGAUUAGAUACCCCCGUAGUCC
rnacentral:rRNA from 1 species